rnacentral:rRNA from 1 species
AGCAGCCGCGGUAAUUCCAGCUCCAAUAGCGUAUAUUAAAGUUGUUGCAGUUAAAAAGCUCGUAGUUGAAUUUCGGGAUUUAUCCGUCGGUCGGGCUUUUGGGUCUGUACUGGCGUGAUGGAUUCCUACCUUCUGAAUAACCGGCAUGUCAUUUAUUUGGUGCGCUGGGGAAGCAGGACUGUUACCUUGAAAAAUUAGAGUGCUUAAAGCAGGCUAUUGCCUGAAUACAUUAGCAUGGAAUAAUGAAAUAGGACGGCAUGGUUCUAUUUUGUUGGUUUCUAGGAUCACCGUAAUGAUUAAUAGGGAUAGUUGGGGGCAUUAGUAUUCAAUUGUCAGAGGUGAAAUUCUUGGAUUUAUUGAAGACUAACUUCUGCGAAAGCAUUUGCCAAGGAUGUUUUCAUUAAUCAAGAACGAAAGUUAGGGGAUCGAAGACGAUCAGAUACCGUCGUAGUCUUAACCAUAAACUAUGCCGACUAGGGAUCGGACGAUGUUAAUUUUUAAUGACUCGUUCGGCGCCUUA